rnacentral:lncRNA from 1 species
GUUGGGUGAGAGGCGUGGCCAUUGGCGUGGUGGGCGCGGCUAGAGGAGGGGGCGGGGCCGGGCAGGGGGGAGCCGCGCUGAGAUUGCCCUUGUGUCUAGAGCUCGAAGCGGCGGGUAGCGGAGCAGGCUUCCCGUGAACCAAGGCAAGCGAGCGCGGCUGGCAGCCUCCUCCGCGCCCGGCUCCAGAGCGGGGACGUGCGCCCGGCACCGCUGCACCGGGGGGACCUGCCCAGCGCCAGAGGAGGAGGGAGCCGCCUCACCACCCGCCCCCGCGACCCUGGUCCUCCUCCUCACCCCACUGGAUACAGCGAGGCAGAGGGAGACACUGCGGCGGAGGCUCCUGCUGGGGGACAGAAGCGCCCGGAGAGAGGCGGCGCAGGCUGCGGGAAUCUCUGCCUGGCGCCCACCCAGCCCGAGGGAAGCCCCCAGGAUGCGGCUGAGACCCAGCGCCCUACUGCGCUUCUACAGCCUCUGCGGGCUCCUCAUACAAGUGAACUUCUGAAAAGGCUUCUUGGUUUCACUUUUAACGUUUUUGGAACACCUUUGAUAAUGCAACUGGAUUGGCACUGAGCUGCACGUUCAGAAAGUGGAGAACUGAGUUCUGAUGUCUGAAAAAAGCUUCUGACGUUGACUUUUUCGUUAACCUGCAUUCAGCUUCACUCUGCUAAAUUUAACAAGUGAAACUCUAUUGAACCAUGUGCAUGGCUCUCUUCUGUCCAUGUGGCUCAAUUGCUUCCAGCCUAAUUACACCAGUUUCCUAUUACCCUGAUGUUCCCUUAGUAGCAGCCUCUCCAAGAAACACAGGUCUCAUCAUUAUAUCCUGCUCACUAGAACUGGAGUGACAUCUUCCCUGCCUUAAAGAAAACAAUUAAGUGAAAGCAACUUGUGAAAAAGUAGUAUGGACUGUUUGUCUAUAUAUGAUUAUGAAAUAUUUUUUUGUUUUUGUGGAGGUUUGAUCAUACGUUAAACAUAAACGGAAUAGUACUUUCCCAUGCACUCUUACAACAGAUUCAGUGAAUAUUUAAAAGAGGAAUGCCUGAACGGACAAUUGGCCAAAAAACUAUAUCAGAAUCAUUUGUUACAUAGAAUACUGUUACCAAGAAUUGCAGUGUUUAAGUGUCCUUGCAACAUUUGUCAGAAUUUUUGUCUUAUCACAAGCUACACUGAAGUAUGGGUUUUAACAGGUAGCAAGAUAACAGCACUUAAAUGUGUCACUUCUGGCUAACACCUUGCUUUUUCUAUCCCCUCUGAACUUCAGCUGGCAUGUUAGCACUCAUUUAUGGACUUCCUAUUUUGGGGAGUACUUUUUUGUGUGUGUCCAGGACCAAAUUAUGUAUUACUGUUUUCUUGCUUUCAGUUCCACUAUGUGUAGUCUGCACCCUCCUAAGAAAACAUAUGGCUGGAAGUACAAACAACUAUUUGCUUAUUUGAUUUCUUCAAAAUUUUAAACAC